GACGAACGCUGGCGGCGCGCCUAACACAUGCAAGUCGAACGAGCGAGAGAGAGCUUGCUUUCUCGAGCGAGUGGCGAACGGGUGAGUAACGCGUGAGGAACCUGCCUCAAAGAGGGGGACAACAGUUGGAAACGACUGCUAAUACCGCAUAAGCCCACGGGUCGGCAUCGACCAGAGGGAAAAGGAGCAAUCCGCUUUGAGAUGGCCUCGCGUCCGAUUAGCUAGUUGGUGAGGUAACGGCCCACCAAGGCGACGAUCGGUAGCCGGACUGAGAGGUUGAACGGCCACAUUGGGACUGAGACACGGCCCAGACUCCUACGGGAGGCAGCAGUGGGGAAUAUUGCACAAUGGGGGAAACCCUGAUGCAGCGACGCCGCGUGGAGGAAGAAGGUCUUCGGAUUGUAAACUCCUGUUGUUGAGGAAGAUAAUGACGGUACUC
rnacentral:rRNA from 1 species